UUUGGACAAUGGGGGCAACCCUGAACCAACCAUCCCGCGUUUGCGAUGAAGGCCAUCGGGUUUUAAAGCACUUUUGGCAGGGAAGAACAGGCUCCGGCUAAUACCCGGCACUGCUGACGGCACCUGCAGAAUAAGCACCGGCUAAACACGUACCAGCAGCCGCGGUAAUACGCAGGGUGCAAGCGUUAAUCGGAAUUACUGGGCGUAAAGCGUGCGCAUGCGGUUCGGCAAGAAGGAUGUGAAAUCCCAGGGCUUAACCUUGGAACUGCAUUCUUAACUGCCGGGCUAGAGUAUGUCAGAGGGGGGUAGAAUUCCGCGUGUAGCAGUGAAAUGCGUAGAGAUGCGGAGGAAUACCGAUGGCGAAGGCAGCCCCCUGGGAUAAUACUGACGCUCAUGCACGAAAGCGUGGGGAGCAAACA
rnacentral:rRNA from 1 species